GGAGGAGUGGCCGAGUGGUCUAAGGCAGCGGUUUUGAAAACCGCCGUACCCGUGAGGGUACCAGGGGUUCGAAUCCCUUCUCCUCCG
rnacentral:tRNA from 1 species